rnacentral:rRNA from 1 species
UCCAACUCGUKSGUGUUAUUAAKACCUUCUUACGAAGGUAUGCUUAAAGAGGGGCUUGCGCCACAUUAGUUAGUUGGUAGAGUAAAAGCCUACCAAGACGAUGAUGUGUAGCUGGACUGAGAGGUUGAACAGCCACAUUGGGACUGAGACACGGCCCAAACUCCUACGGGAGGCAGCAGUAGGGAAUUUUCGGCAAUGGAGGAAACUCUGACCGAGCAACGCCGCGUGAACGAUGAAGUAUUUCGGUAUGUAAAGUUCUUUUAUUGAAGAAGAAAAAGUAGUGGAAAAACUAUAUUGACGUUAUUCAAUGAAUAAGCCCCGGCUAACUAUGUGCCAGCAGCCGCGGUAAGACAUAGGGGGCGAGCGUUAUCCGGAAUUAUUGGGCGUAAAGGGUGCGUAGGCUGUUAGAUAAGUCUAUAAUUUAAUUUCAGUGCUUAACGCUGUCUUGUUAUAGAAACUGUCUUGACUAGAGUGAGAUAGAGGCAAGCGGAAUUCCAUGUGUAGCGGUAAAAUGUGUAAAUAUAUGGAGGAACACCAGAAGCGUAGGCGGCUUGCUGGGUCUUUACUGACGCUGAGGCACGAAAGCGUGGGUAGCAAACAGGAUUAGAUACCCUGGUAGUCCACGCCGUAAACGAUGAGUACUAAGUGUCGGGGUAAAACUCGGUACUGAAGUUAACACAUUAAGUACUCCGCCUGAGUAGUACGUACGCAAGUAUGAAACUUAAAGGAAUUGACGGGACUCCGCACAAGCGGUGGAUCAUGUUGUUUAAUUCGAAGAUACACGAAAAAUCUUACCAGGUCUUGACAUACUCUGCAAAGCUAUAGAAAUAUAGUGGAGGUUAUCAGAGAUACAGGUGGUGCAUGGUUGUCGUCAGUUCGUGUCGUGAGAUGUUAGGUUAAGUCCUAAAACGAGCGCAACCCUUGUCGUUAAUUGCCAGCACGUAAUGGUGGGGACUUUAACGAGACUGCCAAUUAAAAAUUGGAGGAAGGUGAGGAUUACGUCAAAUCAUCAUGCCCCUUAUGAUCUGGGCUACAAACGUGAUACAAUGGCUGUGACAAAGAGUAGCUGAAACGCGAGUUUUUAGCCAAUCUCAAAAAAGCAGUCUCAGUUCGGAUUGAAGUCUGUAAUUCGACUUCAUGAAGUUGGAAUCGCUAGUAUCGMGMACUGACAYUMMACUACGUCUAUCAUCCU